rnacentral:rRNA from 1 species
UAGGGAAUCUUCGGCAAUGGGGGGAACCCUGACCGAGCAACGCCGCGUGAGUGAAGAAGGUUUUCGGAUCGUAAAGCUCUGUUGUUAAGGAAGAACGAGUGUGAGAAUGGAAAGUUCAUGCUGUGACGGUACUUAACCAGAAAGGGACGGCUAACUACGUGCCAGCAGCCGCGGUAAUACGUAGGUCCCGAGCGUUGUCCGGAUUUAUUGGGCGUAAAGCGAGCGCAGGCGGUUAGAAAAGUCUGAAGUGAAAGGCAGUGGCUCAACCAUUGUAGGCUUUGGAAACUGUUUAACUUGAGUGCAGAAGGGGAGAGUGGAAAUCCAUGUGUAGCGGUGAAAUGCGUAGAUAUAUGGAGGAACACCGGUGGCGAAAGCGGCUCUCUGGUCUGUAACUGACGCUGAGGCUCGAAAGCGUGGGGAGCGAACAGG